GACGAACGCUGGCGGCGUGCUUAACACAUGCAAGUCGAACGGAAAGGCCCUGCUUUUGUGGGGUGCUCGAGUGGCGAACGGGUGAGUAACACGUGAGUAACCUGCCCUUGACUUUGGGAUAACUUCAGGAAACUGGGGCUAAUACCGGAUAGGAGCUCCUGCUGCAUGGUGGGGGUUGGAAAGUUUCGGCGGUUGGGGAUGGACUCGCGGCUUAUCAGCUUGUUGGUGGGGUAGUGGCUUACCAAGGCUUUGACGGGUAGGCGGCCUGGGAGGGUGACCGGCCACAUUGGGACUGAGAUACGGCGCAGACUCCUACGGGAGGCAGCAGUGGGGAAUAUUGCACAAUGGGCGGAAGCCUGAUGCAGCAACGCCGCGUGCGGGAUGACGGCCUUCGGGUUGUAAACCGCUUUCGCCUGUGACGAAGCGUGAGUGACGGUAAUGGGUAAAGAAGCACCGGCUAACUACGUG
rnacentral:rRNA from 1 species